rnacentral:rRNA from 1 species
CUUCAGGCGCAACUUGCGUUCAAAGACUCGAUGGUUCACGGGAUUCUGCAAUUCACACCAAGUAUCGCAUUUCGCUACGUUCUUCAUCGAUGCAAGAGCCGAGAUAUCCGUUGCCGAGAGUCUUUUGGAUACGCGUUUCGCAGCGCCGCCCACACAAGCACCG